GAUGAACGCUGGCGGCGUGCCUAAUACAUGCAAGUCGAGCGAACAGAUGAGGAGCUUGCUCCUCUGACGUUAGCGGCGGACGGGUGAGUAACACGUGGAUAACCUACCUAUAAGACUGGGAUAACUACGGGAAACCGGAGCUAAUACCGGAUAAUAUAUUGAACCGCAUGGUUCAAUAGUGAAAGACGGUUUUGCUGUCACUUAUAGAUGGAUCCGCGCCUCAUUAGCUAGUUGGUAAGGUAACGGCUUACCAAGGCAACGAUGCGUAGCCGACCUGAGAGGGUGAUCGGCCACACUGGAACUGAGACACGGUCCAGACUCCUACGGGAGGCAGCAGUAGGGAAUCUUCCGCAAUGGGCGAAAGCCUGACGGAGCAACGCCGCGUGAGUGAUGAAGGUCUUCGGAUCGUAAAACUCUGUUAUUAGGGAAGAACAAAUGUGUAAGUAACUAUGCACGUAUUGACGGUACCUAAUCAGAAAGCCACGGCUAACUACGUG
rnacentral:rRNA from 1 species